GUAUCAGCNGCCGCGGUAAUACNUNNGGNGCAAGCGUUAAUCGGAAUUACUGGGCGUAAAGCGUGCGCAGGCGGNUUUGUAAGUCUGUCGUGAAAUCCCCGGGCUCAACCUGGGAAUUGCGAUGGAGACUGCAAGGCUAGAAUCUGGCAGAGGGGGGUAGAAUUCCACGNGUAGCAGUGAAAUGCGUAGAGAUGUGGAGGAACACCGAUGGCGAANGCAGCCCCCUGGGNCAAGAUUGACGCUCAUGCACGAAAGCGUGGGGAGCAAACAGGAUUANAUACCCUGGUAGUCCACGCCCUAAACGAUGUCUACUAGUUGUCGGGUUUUAAUUAACUUGGUAACGCAGCUAACGCGUGAAGUAGACCGCCUGGGGAGUACGGUCGCAAGAUUAAAACUCAAAGGAAUUGACGGGGACCCGCACAAGCGGUGGAUGAUGUGGAUUAAUUCGAUGCAACGCGAAAAACCUUACCUACCCUUGACAUGUACGGAAGCCACGAGAGAUCGAGGUGUGCUCGAAAGAGAGCCGUAACACAGGUGCUGCAUGGCUGUCGUCAGCUCGUGUCGUGAGAUGUUGGGUUAAGUCCCGCAACGAGCGCAACCCUUGUCAUUAGUUGCUACAUUCAGUUGAGCACUCUAAUGAGACUGCCGGUGACAAACCGGAGGAAGGUGGGGAUGACGUCAAGUCCUCAUGGCCCUUAUGGGUAGGGCUUCACACGUCAUACAAUGGUACAUACAGAGGGCCGCCAACCCGCGAGGGGGAGCUAAUCCCAGAAAGUGUAUCGUAGUCCGGAUCGCAGUCUGCAACUCGACUGCGUGAAGUUGGAAUCGCUAGUAAUCGCGGAUCAGCAUGUCGCGGUGAAUACGUUCCCGGGUCUUGUACACACCGCCCGUCAAAC
rnacentral:rRNA from 1 species